AUGGGACCAGAGUGGGCUUACCAUGAAGAUUCCCAGUCGAGUGUGUAGAUUGAAUGUUCACCUACAUCCUCUCCUUUCACCUUACAAACUGUGGAUCUAGGAAAAUUUUCCAUAGUAGGAGGAAUAUUAAUUUCUCAAGGUCAUUCAAGGAGUUAGAGGCUGAAGUUGGAAUAUAAUAAAAGAUUUCUAACUCAAGUCAUCUGAUAAACAUCACCAUGGGUUUCCAAAGGGUUUGGCAAAGAACAUUAAAAUGUCAGAAGAAAUCAUAAUUGAAAAAAGAAGUAUACCAAUGGGAAGUCAAAGAAAGCAACUUUGAAAGUUUUAAUUUGUAAAGCUUAAAAAUAUUCCUAUCUCCGUAUUCCCCACUUGCAUCCCAAUUGUUCCAUAAUUCAAAAUAAUAAAAAGAGAAAAUACAAA